AGAAAGUGGGACUCGGCUUGAAAAUAGCCGAUUUUCCUAAGAUUGAAUCGAUCGGUAUUGGUUCUACAGUCACCGUGAGCAUGGGGAUAGAUUUUAAGGAUACUAUACAACCAGUUAGUUUUGAGAUAUGCACGAAGUCCGAUAAGUUUACUGUCAAGUUGAAAUGCCCGAUGGGAGAACAGCUUCACGCGAGGCCGAUAACGGAAAAUGAC